CCUCAGUGUUCUUCCUCUCAUUCCUCUCUCAAAGCUUCCAUCAGCAUGAAUGUGAGCAGACCACAACAAGAGGCGGAGCUACACAACUCAAUAUGAAAGGCUUCAUUUAGGAAGUGAAGGUCUUCAGUGUUGAUGCACAACAAUUCCAAAUAAUGCUGCUCCACUUCAUCUGGAUGAUAACAGUCAGCUUUCAUACUGGAUCCUCUGAGGAUUUAGUCAAACCCUUUAGAGAUCGAAUACUUGUUUUGGAAGGAGACAGUGGGACUCUGUCCUGCAGCUAUUCUGGUUCUGUCUACAGUGUCUUCUGGUACCGACAGAACCUCAGAUCAUCUCCAGAACUUCUCAUCACAGAGUUUUCAGUCAUAACAGGGUUGACUUUGAAACAUGAAAAAGACAGAAAAAAGUUUCAUUUGGAGAUCAGCAGUACUGCAGUGAUAGACUCUGCUGUGUACUACUGUGCUGUGAGGCCCACAGUGACACAAAACACUCAGUCUGUGGACAAAAACCUCACUCAGUGACAAACAGCGCCACCAAGUGGACACAAAGCAUCACUAGG